AUGUAUAGCUUUUUCUCUCCCUUCUCUUUGCCCUCCCUUCUUCCUGCUACCAGUUGCAAGAUAGCUGGAGGUUGCUCACUAUCUGGGCUCCAUGAAGGAAAGAUGUGGGGAGAAGAGACCUUGAUCCUAACACUUGGAACUGCCAGCAAUCACUCACUUAUACAUCUCUUGCUGUUUGUGAAAGAUGAAGAAAAUGCCUUUCUGGGAUACAUUUCGGCAAUCUUCUGAAGAAAUAAAAACUAGGUGACAUAAUGAUCAAAACAAGGAAACAAACAUGGCCCAGAUGCUGUGAUAAAUGUGUGGGAUUCAUCCUAUAUUCUUGUAGGAACAUUUGUCAUGGCCAACUCUAAUUUAAGACCAAGAAAUGCUUUCAGCUGCUUUUAUCCAGUUGCUAAAUCAAAUAACAGUAUCAGAAAGAAAUUCGAGGAAUUUUGAGAUGACUGCAGAGCUGUUAUGUAAUAAAAAUCCCAGUAACGAAUAAAGAUUAUAUCUA
rnacentral:lncRNA from 12 species